GAUGAACGCUGGCGGCGUGCCUAAUACAUGCAAGUCGAGCGAACAGACGAGGAGCUUGCUCCUCUGACGUUAGCGGCGGACGGGUGAGUAACACGUGGAUAACCUACCUAUAAGACUGGGAUAACUUCGGGAAACCGGAGCUAAUACCGGAUAAUAUAUUGAACCGCAUGGUUCAAUAGUGAAAGACGGUUUUGCUGUCACUUAUAGAUGGAUCCGCGCCGCAUUAGCUAGUUGGUAAGGUAACGGCUUACCAAGGCAACGAUGCGUAGCCGACCUGAGAGGGUGAUCGGCCACACUGGAACUGAGACACGGUCCAGACUCCUACGGGAGGCAGCAGUAGGGAAUCUUCCGCAAUGGGCGAAAGCCUGACGGAGCAACGCCGCGUGAGUGAUGAAGGUCUUCGGAUCGUAAAAUCUCUGUUAUUAGGGAAGAACAAAUGUGUAAGUAACUAUGCACGUCUUGACGGUACCUAAUCAGAAAGCCACGGCUAACUACGUG
rnacentral:rRNA from 1 species